AAUCAAUCAAUUUUGAAAUAAUAUCACAUAAAGAUGAUACCGGAUUUUGUGUUGGUAAUAUUUUUGGAACCAGGAUAUUAGUUGUUUUCUGAGGUUUUCCUGUUACCAGUUAAACUGAUUCACCAGCCAAAUGGCCCACGAUAGGAAAAGCUGCAUCUGCAGCUGUAACUGCCGCCCCUAUUACCCUUUUUCGUAUUAAAAAUAAACAAAACAAAAUAGAAAGCUAAAAAA